CAGCAGCCGCGGUAAUACGUAGGUGGCAAGCGUUGUCCGGAAUUAUUGGGCGUAAAGGGCUCGCAGGCGGUUUCUUAAGUCUGAUGUGAAAGCCCCCGGCUCAACCGGGGAGGGUCAUUGGAAACUGGGAAACUUGAGUGCAGAAGAGGAGAGUGGAAUUCCACGUGUAGCGGUGAAAUGCGUAGAGAUGUGGAGGAACACCAGUGGCGAAGGCGACUCUCUGGUCUGUAACUGACGCUGAGGAGCGAAAGCGUGGGGAGCGAACAGGAUUAGAUACCCCCGUAGUCCCUGUCUCUUAUAU
rnacentral:rRNA from 1 species